rnacentral:rRNA from 1 species
UACGUAGGGAGCAAGCGUUGUCCGGAAUCAUUGGGCGUAAGGAGCUCGUAGGCGGUUUGCUCAGUUGGAUGUGAAACCUCCAGGCUCAACCUGGAGCCGCCAUUCGAUACUGGCAUGACUAGAGUCCGGUAGGGGCCCACGGAACUCCUGGUGUAGCGGUGAAAUGCGCAGAUAUCAGGAAGAACACCGAUGGCGAAGGCAGCCCCCUGGGUUAACACUGACGCUCAUGCACGAAAGCGUGGGGAGCAAACAGG